GUAGGGAAUCUUCCGCAAUGGGCGAAAGCCUGACGGAGCAACGCCGCGUGAGUGAUGAAGGUCUUCGGAUCGUAAAACUCUGUUAUUAGGGAAGAACAAAUGUGUAAGUAACUAUGCACGUCUUGACGGUACCUAAUCAGAAAGCCACGGCUAACUACGUGCCAGCAGCCGCGGUAAUACGUAGGUGGCAAGCGUUAUCCGGAAUUAUUGGGCGUAAAGCGCGCGUAGGCGGUUUUUUAAGUCUGAUGUGAAAGCCCACGGCUCAACCGUGGAGGGUCAUUGGAAACUGGAAAACUUGAGUGCAGAAGAGGAAAGUGGAAUUCCAUGUGUAGCGGUGAAAUGCGCAGAGAUAUGGAGGAACACCAGUGGCGAAGGCGACUUUCUGGUCUGUAACUGACGCUGAUGUGCGAAAGCGUGGGGAUCAAACAGG
rnacentral:rRNA from 2 species